CCACGCCCAGCUCAUUUUCGUAUUUUUAGUAGAGAUGGGGUUUCGCCAUGUUGGCCAGGCUGGUCUCUAACUCCUGACCUUAGGUGAUCUACCUGAGGCCUCCCAAAGUGCUGGGAGUGCAGGUGUGAGCCACCAUGACCUGCCAAUUUUUGGUUUUGAAACCGAAGAAUAAUUAGGAAAAUGAUGAUUAUUCCUAUUACAUGAUUAUAAUUUAAAAUAGUUUUGUUGAAUGGAUACGGGUGCUGAAAUAAUGCAUUCUGGGUAUCAAAUGGAUGCUUGGAGUGGAUGGAUAGAUUGGAUACCUGGUCCCUCCAAAUCUCAUGUUGAAAUCUGAUUCCUGGUGUUGGUGGUGGAGCCUACUGGGAGUCUUGGGGUCAUGUGCCUCUUGGUGCCAUCCUCUUGUCCCCUCGGGAAGGAGUGAGUUCUUGCUCUGUUAGUUUUUGCCAGAGCUGAUGUUGAAACGAGCCUGGCACCUCCCGCACUCCUCUCUUCCUUCCUCUCUUGCCAUCUGAUGCCAGCUCCCCUUCCCCUUCUGCCAUGAGUGGAAGCUCCCUGAGGGCCUCACCAGAAGCAGAUGCUGGCGCCAUGUUUCUUGUACAGCCUGCAGAACCUUGAGCCAAAUAAACCUCUUUUCUUCAUAAGUUACCCAGCCUCGAGUAUUCCUUUAUAGCAACACAAACAGGCUCGGACAGAACGCCACUGCUGCCUCCCCAACCCCUGUGAGUCCUUCCAUGUACACACCCGCCUCGGAAUCUGCUCAUUGUGGGAGGACUCUCCAGCUUACCCACUGAGACUGAGUAGCAGUAGACAUGCCCCCUUGCGGCCCAAGGAACGACUGGUUGGUACAUUACUGUGCUAAUGGCACUUUAAUUGCAGACUUUCAGGGACAAGAAACUUUUGUGUUUCACCCCAGUAAAUGACAGGCCCUAAAGUAAACUGUGAAGGACAAUGCCAGCAAAAGUUUGAGGCCUGGCGCUCUUUACAGUAAGGCUUUGUGCGGUGAUC
rnacentral:lncRNA from 10 species